AUACGGAGGGUGCGAGCGUUAUUCGGAAUUACUGGGCGUAAAGCGUACGUAGGCGGUUCGUUAAGUUAGAUGUGAAAGCCCCGGGCUUAACCUGGGAACUGCAUUUAAAACUGGCGAACUAGAGUUGAGUAGAGGGGAGUGGAAUUUCAGGUGUAGCGGUGAAAUGCGUAGAGAUCUGAAGGAACACCGGUGGCGAAGGCGACUCCCUGGACUCGAACUGACGCUGAGGUACGAAAGCGUGGGUAGCAAACGGGAUUAGAAACCCUUGUAGUCC
rnacentral:rRNA from 1 species